rnacentral:lncRNA from 1 species
UGGGGCAGUGCCGUUGCUAAGCGCCGACGUCUUCUGUGUGCAUACGGACGUUAUCCCCCUUCCCCCUCCCGCAUCUUACGCGUUUUAGUUUGUCAUUAAUGUUUAUGAGGGUUUUUUUUCCUUUGUUUUUAGAGGAUUCGUUUGCUUGAAGUGUAUGCCAGUCGAAACGCAUGCAAUUUACCGUAUCCUUCUUUCCAAGAUUUUUUUUCUGUCAAGGCUGAUCAGGAGCUGAUCCCCCACUAUCAAAUAUCAUGGAAGUUUUUGCUGAUACUGAACUCCUCAAGGAAGACAGAAUUAAACCAAAAGGAGAAGCGCACAUCCUGGCAUGUAUUUGCAGGAGUUCAGACAUUUCCACAUUCUGGAGAAGCAGGAGAGCGUGUAGAGCAAUUUGCAUUUACUGAAUUCAGGAGUAAAGCUUUCUUUUGUGAAGUAACAUCUUGA